UACGUAGGUGGCGAGCGUUGUCCGGAUUUACUGGGCGUAAAGAGCGCGCAGGCGGUCGUUCAAGUCGCGUGUGAAAGCCCCCGGCUCAACUGGGGAGGGUCACGCGAUACUGAUCGACUCGAAGGCAGGAGAGGGUAGUGGAAUUCCCGGUGUAGUGGUGAAAUGCGUAGAUAUCAGGAGGAACACCGGUGGCGAAGGCGGGUCUCUGGGCCGAUACUGACGCUGAGGAGCGAAAGCGUGGGGAGCAAACAGG
rnacentral:rRNA from 1 species